CCCAUAAAGGGCGAGGGAAAGGUGUCCACUGGAAACAGAGGCUUUCAACAGCUGAUCACUGCUGGGAACUCAUAAAAGAAAACCAAGACCUCCAAAGAUCCGAAUACAGUGAUAUUCAGCAAAAUGUCAUGCAAGAGAAUCUCAGUUCUGACAAGCCCUAACGACACACCAGAGGAUUGUUUGGCAGUUGUGUCAGAUGAUCUUUGAAGCCCCCAUGCUGAAGUCUGCAAUGUAUGUAUAUUACUUCUUCCAUGGACUAAUGAUCUACUACUACCAGAGCUGUGGAGUGUGACAAUGGUGUUUGUGUCCAGUCUAUCAAACGCCAUUAUCACACUAAAUAGCUACUGGUAGACAAGACAUCAAUUCAGAAAAGUAUGUGAACUGUAGCAAUACGUUUUCCCACCGUACUGAGGAAUAAAUAACCUUUUAACAUGUAUGUCAGGAUGAUUCUGCUCUUUCUUUUACAAGCAAAAGCACCCUAAUAUGUGGGAAAUACAUACUCUGCUACAUGCACUGCCAGAUUCCCAUUGUAAAGUACACAAGUCAUCUUAAGGAAUCAUCAUUAUAAUGUCAUCAUUAGGAAUGUGGAUUUCAUUGGAAUCAAUGGGGUUGUGACUACCUCUGAAAAACAAGGCCAGCUUGGAUUUUUCUUUUUCCUGUUGAAUUGACCAGGACAAUUAGAAUACUGAAGCCAAUUAGCUGAUGUAGUGAAACUCUGGUUCUUAUUUUGGCACCAAAUUAAAACAUAGGUUUGGAACAUUAA